CAUACAUAUAGGCUAUAUCUCCGACGGUUAAGUGUUGUGUCAUCACAACAAGCUGCCAUCGUUGCUACUUUGGGAGGCAGAGACCCCUUUUUGCGCAUGGAUGCAUUUAAGGGCUCCAGGGAUAUCAAGCUUUCACAUCUCCUGCAGCUCUAUCAUCUUUCGGUGCACAUGGGCUAAGUAGUCCUAGAAACAAUCAGGUAGUGGUUGUGAUACAGGGGAUGCCUGCUUCCAGAUCAAUUCAUACUGGAAGUGGCAUUUCCAUAACAAAUAAUUCCGUUGGUGAUGCAAAUAAGUACCAUCUUAACCUAUAAGGAAACCAACAUGGUAACCUGGCACAAGGUUUAGCCACAUCGCUUGGGCAGGCCCAACUGCAACAGAAGUGGAUGAAUGAAGCAACGGUGAUUUGUCCGUCAUCCUAUGUGGGAAUAGCCUGGUCAAAGGCAUGCCUCACACGCUCCGAAGUGUCACAAGCAGUACAUGCCUCAAGAUCAAAUGAUACAUUCUCAGCAAGGUUUGGUCCAACAAAUGACCUCAUGGUAGCAAGAGGUGGCAAAGUGGGAGCCAACUCUUUUGGUGGCACGAUACUUUGUCGCCAGAUACCGACCAAAAGUACUGGAGCUUUGGAAGUGGAAACAGCUUUAGACAGAAGGCAGAUGAAAGUAGUGUAGACAGUCUACUUGGUCCAAACCUUGCAUGGAAUUCCUCUCAACUGAUAAGCUAGCCAUAAAGCUAAUACACAAAUAGUCUCUCUUUUAAGUGGCCAACGAGCAAUUGUGAUUCUCGGGGGAGACUACGCCAAGAACUUUGAUUCUGCUGACCUAUGUAAUGCAUCCUCGCAAGAUUCUAUCAUAAUAUUAAUUUUUUGGCAUGAGUGUCAGCAAAUACUGAGGUUCUGAAUUUUUUAAGGUGAGCUGCAGGAAUUGGAUAGCUCUUGCAGGUCGUGCAUUUCCUAGGUGCGGGUGCCUCCAUCUCCAUAACCUCACACAUAUGAUUAAUCUUACAUGGAUGUUGGUGUAUGGUCUUGGAAGAGUGAGAUACAAAGUACUUUCGUUGCAUUUUUUCCCUCAGAAAUGGUGAAUAUACUUAAACGGUUAACUUUAUAAUUUAGUUGGUAGUUUUUGAAAAAGCAACCUAUAUAUGCAGAGGGGCCUUCCAAUCAUCAAUAUAGAGUUUCUUCCAACUGCUUGGUUGUUCUGAUCAUAUCAGUGGUGGAACUCCGAUAAGAUUUUAAUUCCAUGACUCACGAGGUGUCCUCUUCAGAAGUUAUAUGCAGAGUGCAACAAGUUUAGGCCCCACAACACCUGUAGUAGGUGUACCUGUAAAUGUGGUCAUAUUUCUGGAAAUUCGAGCAUAGUUUCCUUAGCUAAGCUGAGAUCAGCGUAGAGAACUCCCUAAGCUGAACAGUCUUUGCUUAAUUCAACAAUGAAUGCUCCAUGCCUCUUAUAGCAACAGAUAUCACCCUAGGGGCGCGGCAUGUAGGAUUCCUUCUAGAGUUGAAGUGUGUUAUUAUGGGUUUCAGUUAAUUAAUGAGGGGAUGGUUGCUAGGACCUAGCUAAUUGGGUAGUAAUAUGUAAGUUAAUCUAACUGCAUAUACAAAAGUUACUAAUAGUAGAGAUUCAUUUAAGAUAAUUGAGGUAAAAAUUGCUAGCAUUGUCUAUAAUUUUCAGGUUUUGUCAAAGUUUGAUACUGCCUUUUGUACCAGAGAGCCCUGAUAUUUUGUAGCGACUGGGCUCCGAAAUAGAUAUGCAUAUUUCCGCAAGAUUAUGUGCUGCUUGAGCAAGGCACGUCAAGAUUUCUUUUUUUCUCUCGAACACACACCUAGACGUGUGUCUUUGUAUAUUAGAAGAAGACCGUCAAGAUGACGGGAAAGUUACAGCGUUGGUAGCAAGGCUACAGAAGAAGGCAAAAAACAAAGAAACAAGAGAAGAACACAAGAGAGAACAAAAAAAAUGUACAAGGCUAAAGCCUGCAUUGUUCGAGAUUUCUGAUACUAACCUUUCUUUUUUAUUUCUGCACUUCUAUGUAAUGGGUGAUGCUUGCCUUCCUUUUUCUAUCUGCAGUUUCAUGGAAUGUGUGAUCUAUUUCCUCUAAAGUUGUUUGGUGCUUCUCCCCUGCUUCUCCCUCCUCCUAUAUGCAGAUCAGAAAAAAAGAAGAAGCAAUGGUACCUUUUUUGAUCUUCUAGGUUCACAUUUUGAAAGAUAGAUGGGCAUUGGACAUUGUGUCGCUCAAUCGGGGCAAUUUGGUUCUGUAAAUAUUGCACAAUGAUCAUGUUUCUCUUUGCAUUCCUAUUCAUUAGAUAUAUGUAGGUGUGUAGCAAUAUCAUCCCCUGAAAUAGCUGUGCUGAUGCACCUUCCUGGUUUAUGACAAAUGGGUAUUGUGUGAUUAAGGUGAGCUGCUUCUACCUGCAUACAUCCUGCUACGUCGGUGCAACCAAGUCAUAUGUUCUUCAGAGAAGUGUGAUUUUCCCACAAACAGAUCAAAGACGAUCUUCUGGACACUGAUCAUUCAAGUGAUUAUAUUUUUCUUAACUGCUGCCUUUUUCCUAAUUGCAGCUUGGGGUCUUCGUUUUUUCAUAGAGGGUGUGUCUCUAUUAACAAAAAACAGUAGUGCACCUGGUAAUUCUUUCUUGACAAGCCUAUCAUGUCAAGAUUGUUUCUGAUGCAUUACUAACAAUGCUUUUGUCUGCACAACAAACAAACCAAUGGUUGUGUCAAUAUGUGACACUUUCAAGUUCAAACCUUUAGGUACCAUUAUAAUUAGCAUCGUGUUUAUCAUUGGAGAAAGUAGCACAAAGCUAUGUUAUUGGCUACUCUCAAUGAGUCAGUGAGAGCCAAGAUUAUUUUCAAGUUACAUUUUUGCACCACUUUUUGGAAAUUUUUCAAACUACAUGAAUUUUCCUAUUCUCGCAUUUUAACUUAUUGCCAUCUACUUAAAUAAGUACACACACAAAUGUUGUAUUAAAAGAGAUCAGUGUACAUGUUUCUAUAGGAACUAAGAAGUGAAGAUGCAUGCAGCUGACUAUUCUGUAAACAUAAAAGGAUCCUGCCCUCACAACCACACACAAUGGUUGCGCACAAGUACAGUGGACCUAUUCGACAUUUUGAAUUAUUGCCAUGCAUCCACUUAAAAUAGGUAUCCAGAGGUGUGUGUAGUUAGGAACUUAGAAGUGCAGAUGCAGCUGACUAAGCUUAGCUCUCACAACCAUACAUGCAUGGUUUUUGGUUCUCCUCUUCUAGAGAUUUGGCAGCUCUUCUCACUAAGUUCAUCCUUCAAGGUGUCGUUGUAUCUACCAAGGUUUUACCAUUGCGUUCCUAAUUUGUCUGUCGCAAGAACCUGCGCUUUAAAUGAUAGAGAAUGAAAGCAAUUACCUAGACUAUACAAGAAAUCUUAUAAGCUAAAGAGCCGUAGAGAGUGGGUUUUAUAGUUUAUUAUUACUGCAUAUUCAGCUAUGUGCAGGCAUUGCCUUUAGGCACCAAUAUUUAGAUCCUGGCACAUCUAUUUUCUGUACAUAAAUGGAAAUUUUUCCGCUAAUGAAGAUUUCGGUUUAUACAAAGAGUUAGGAAAAUAAAAUGUAGUAUAUUAUCCUUCAACUUGAAUCAGCCUAUGCUAUGUUUAUUAGUGGCAUUGCCAUACAAUUAGCUAAAAAAAACUAUUUGUUCUGCUUCAGUCGUGUGGAAUGAUCAAGGGGAAGCAAGGCCGAGAAUGCAGUACUGGUCAAGUAGUAUCUCCUUAAUCAAUGACUAGAAUUAGUGUCCGCUCCAUCUUCCAUGGAUUGAGAGAGCUCGAUGUUUUUGUGAACUAAUCAGACUGAGAUGAGUUAUUUGAUUUAAGCGCAAAUACAAAUCUUAGCUGAAUAUGCUCUUAGUUGUGGAGAUUCUGCUAUUACAUUAUUCAGCUUCAGUUAGUCUUGUUUCUUAGACUUAUUUUGCUUCUUUGUGUAGGCUCGGUUAAGAAAGGCAUGGGAAUGGGUAGUUCUUUCCAAUUUUAUCGUGUAUGCUCGCAUAAUUUUAUCAUGAGCAUAUGCUAUAUACCAACAACAAUUUAAAGGCCAUUCGCAACUUCUUCAAUCAUGGAGAGGACGACAAAGAGAACAUACUGGCUUUACACAAGCAACACACAUGUUAUCGAUAUAUCAUCUGGGAACACGAGAGUGGCUAAAGUAAGAUUUGUGUAUGCAGGUAGAACUUGGUAUAUCAUGUAUCGUCCAAGUCAGCAAAUUUACUGUCAUAUAUGUCCCCAUUGCCGUCAA